GUGCUCGCUUCAGCAACACAUAUACUAAAAUUGGAAUGAUACAGGGAAGAUGAGCGUGGCCCCUGCACAAGGAUGAUGUACAAAUUCAUGAAACGUUCCAUAUUUUU